rnacentral:rRNA from 1 species
ACGGGGGGGGCAAGCGUUGUUCGGAAUUACUGGGCGUAAAGGGUUCGUAGGUGGCCGACUAAGUCAAACGUGAAAUCCCUCAGCUUAACUGGGGAACUGCGUCUGAUACUGGUCGGCUUGAGUGCAGGAGAGGAACGCGGAAUUCCAGGUGUAGCGGUGAAAUGCGUAGAUAUCUGGAGGAACACCGGUGGCGAAGGCGGCGUUCUGGACUGCAACUGACACUGAUGAACGAAAGCCAGGGGAGCAAACGGUA